UGCCUGCUUUACCACUUCCAAAGCCCUUCCUGCAGCUGUGUGCUUCACCUUUCCCCAGUGCUGAACUAGCAAGACUGGAGCUGUGGGAGGAGAGGAGGGAGAGGACAGUGCUGAAAUCGGAGGGGCCAGUAAACACCUGAGCGGCUGGAAUGUGCUCUCUUGGCUGGAGAACAAGCAUGGCAAGCAAGGAGUCCACAGGAACAGAAGUCCCAGGGAGUCCUGGGCAGUUUUUUUGCCAUCUUUAUCCUGUGGAGAAUCACAGCACACAUGCAAAGAUGAUGUGUGAAUUCAUGAGGGACUCCAUGGCAUCUGUGAACAUCUGUGUCAAGGUUUUGCUUUUCCAUGCAACCCUAAAGAGUGGACACAAAAGACAUAUAUUUGCUUGA
ensembl:lncRNA